GCCGAGGUGGCCGAAAAGGCAAGGCGAUGGACUGCUAAUCCAUUGUGCUCUGCAGGCGUGGGUUCGAAUCCCAUCCCCGUCGCG